AAUAUUGUGAAGCAAGAUACCAAAAACGAAGAUUUUCCCAUGGUACAAUAGAACUGAUGAAAUAUGGCUCACCAAAAAUUAAAUCUAUCAUACUAGCUGGUGGCAACUUAUCCUUACUUAUAAUUUCUACUUUGUCUUCGAGCUGUGCAGCAGCUAAGCCUAAGAAACAUCCAUCUGAGAAACAGAGACAAGUAGUAUUUGGUUUAACCUUCUUAGACAAUGCUUCUAUAUAUUUAUUAUUCCGUUCUUUGUCAUUUAAUUGACCUAUACGUGUUCUGGAGUAAGCAAUGUGUGUACAGCAACUACAUAUUGGUCUAUCAUAAUUCGGUAUAUCUAUUCUAAAAAUUAAACAGAGUUAAAACGUUAGAAGUAUAAUAAAAAGUAAAACAAUGGAUAAUAUGGAAAAUAUGUAUAACAAGAUGGAAAAAAAAUUGCAAUAAAAAAACAAAUAAACCUUA